UACGGAGGGGGCUAGCGUUGUCCGAAGUUACUGGGCGCAAAGCGCGUGUAGGCGGCUUUGCAAGUCGGGUGUGAAAGCCCUCAGCUCAACUGAGGAAGUGCGCCCGAAACUGCAGAGCUUGAGUGCCGGAGAGGGUGGCGGAAUUCCCCAAGUAGAGGUGAAAUUCGUAGAUAUGGGGAGGAACACCGGUGGCGAAGGCGGCCACCUGGACGGUAACUGACGCUGAGACGCGAAAGCGUGGGGAGCAAACAGG
rnacentral:rRNA from 1 species